GAUGAACGCUGGCGGCGUGCCUAAUACAUGCAAGUCGAGCGAACAGACGAGGAGCUUGCUCCUUUGACGUUAGCGGCGGACGGGUGAGUAACACGUAGGUAACCUACCUAUAAGACUGGGAUAACUUCGGGAAACCGGAGCUAAUACCGGAUAAUAUUUCGAACCGCAUGGUUCGAUAGUGAAAGAUGGCUUUGCUAUCACUUAUAGAUGGACCUGCGCCGUAUUAGCUAGUUGGUAAGGUAACGGCUUACCAAGGCAACGAUACGUAGCCGACCUGAGAGGGUGAUCGGCCACACUGGAACUGAGACACGGUCCAGACUCCUACGGGAGGCAGCAGUAGGGAAUCUUCCGCAAUGGGCGAAAGCCUGACGGAGCAACGCCGCGUGAGUGAUGAAGGUCUUCGGAUCGUAAAACUCUGUUAUUAGGGAAGAACAAACGUGUAAGUAACUGUGCACGUAUUGACGGUACCUAAUCAGAAAGCAACGGCUAACUACGUG
rnacentral:rRNA from 1 species